rnacentral:rRNA from 1 species
AACGUAGGAGACAAACGUUAUCCGGAGUUACUGGGCGUAAAGGGCGUGUAGGUGGUUUCGUAAGUCUGGUGUGAAAUUUCUCGGCUUAACCGAGGCAGGUCGUCGGAUACUGCGGAACUAGAGGACGGUAGAGGCGUGUGGAAUUCCGGGUGUAGUGGUGAAAUGCGUAGAGAUCCGGAGGAACACCAGUGGCGAAGGCGACACGCUGGGCCGUACCUGACACUGAGGCGCGAUAGCAUGGGGAGCAAACAGG